rnacentral:rRNA from 1 species
UACGUAGGGUGCGAGCGUUGUCCGGAAUUAUUGGGCGUAAAGGGCUCGUAGGCGGCCAACUAGGUCAGACGUGAAAUCCCCAGGCUCAACCUGGGAACUGCGUCUGAUACUGGAUGGCUUGAAUCCGGGAGAGGGAUGCAGAAUUCCAGGUGUAGCGGUGAAAUGCGUAGAUAUCUGGAGGAAUACCGGUGGCGAAGGCGGCAUCCUGGACCGGCAUUGACGCUGAGGAGCGAAAGCCAGGGGAGCAAACGGG